rnacentral:rRNA from 1 species
CGGACGGGUGAGUAAUGUCUGGGAAACUGCCUGAUGGAGGGGGGUAACUACUGGAAACGGUAGCUAAUACCGCAUAACGUCGCAAGACCAAAGAGGGGGGCCUUCGGGCCUCUUGCCAUCGGAUGUGCCCAGAUGGGAUUAGCUAGUAGGUGGGGUAAAGGCUCACCUAGGCGACGAUCCCUAGCUGGUCUGAGAGGAUGACCAGCCACACUGGAACUGAGACACGGUCCAG